GAUGAAGAACGUAGCGAAAUGCGAUACUUGGUGUGAAUUGCAGAAUCCCGUGAACCAUCGAGUCUUUGAACGCAAGUUGCGCCCGAAGCCAUUAGGCCGAGGGCACGCCUGCCUGGGCGUCACACGUCGUUGCCCCCCCAUCUACUCCUUCGGGAUUGCGGGGGGCGGAUGAUGGCCUCCCGUGCGCCUCGUCGCGCGGUUGGCAUAAAUGCCAAGUCCUCGGCGACACACGCCACGACAAUCGGUGGUUGCGAAACCUCGGUUGCCCGUCGUGUGCGGUCGUCGCGCAUCGAGGGCUCGAAAAAAUUGCCGGGCUCCGGCUCGGCUUUCAACGCGACCCCAGGUCAGGCGGGGUUACCCGCUGAAUUUAAGCAUAACAAUAAGCGGAGGA
rnacentral:misc_RNA from 1 species